CCAAUAGCGUAUAUUAAAGUUGUUGCAGUUAAAAAGCUCGUAGUUGAAUUUCGGGGUCAGUAGGUCGGUCGUGCCACUGGUAUGAACUGGUUUUACUGAUUCCUCCCUCUUGAAGAACUGUAAUGCCAUUAAUUUGGUGUUGCAGGGAAUCAGGACUGUUACUUUGAAAAAAUUAGAGUGUUUAAAGCAGGCUUUAGCUUGAAUACAUUAGCAUGGAAUAAUGAAAUAGGACGUUUGAUCCUAUUUUGUUGGUUUCUAGGAUUGACGUAAUGAUUAAUAGGGAUAGUUGGGGGCAUUAGUAUUCAAUUGUCAGAGGUGAAAUUCUUGGAUUUAUUGAAGACUAACUACUGCGAAAGCAUUUGCCAAGGAUGUUUUCAUUAAUCAAGAACGAAAGUUAGGGGAUCGAAGACGAUCAGAUACCGUCGUAGUCUUAACCAUAAACUAUGCCGACUAGGGAUCGGAUGAUGUUAAUUGUUUAAUGACUCAUUCGGCGCCUUACG
rnacentral:misc_RNA from 1 species